UGCAGAAUCCCGUGAACCAUCGAGUCUUUGAACGCAAGUUGCGCCCCAAGCCUUCUGGCCGAGGGCACGUCUGCCUGGGUGUCACAAAUCGUCGUCCCCCCAUCCUCUCGAGGAUAUGGGACGGAAGCUGGUCUCCCGUGUGUUACCGCACGCGGUUGGCCAAAAUCCGAGCUAAGGACGUUUUGGAGCGUCUCGACAUGCGGUGGUGAAUUGUAACCUCGUCAUAUUGUCGGUCGUUCCGGUUCAAAAGCUCUUGAUGACCCAAAGUCCUCAACGCGACCCCAGGUCAGGCGGGAUCACCCGCUGAGUUUAAGCAUAUCAAUAAGCGGAGGAAAAGAAACUAACAAGGAUUCCCUUAGUAACGGCGAGCGAACCGGGAAGAGCCCAGCUUGAAAAUCGGACGUCUUCGGCGUUCGA
rnacentral:rRNA from 1 species